rnacentral:rRNA from 1 species
UGGGGAAUCUUGCGCAAUGGCCGAAAGGCUGACGCAGCGACGCCGCGUGUGGGAGGAAGCUCUUCGGGGUGUAAACCACUGUUGCCCGGGACGAAUGAUGAGCAUCGGCUCAUUUGACGGUACCGGGUGAGGAAGCACCGGCUAACUCUGUGCCAGCAGCCGCGGUAAUACAGAGGGUGCGAGCGUUGUCCGGAAUCACUGGGCGUAAAGGGUCGCGUAGGCGGCAUGGUAAGGUUGCGGUGAAAGCCCGGGGGCUCAACCCCAGGGCUCGGCCGUGGCAACUGCUGAGCUGGAGCACUGUAGAGGCAGGUGGAAUUUCCGGGUGUAGCGGUGGAAUGCGUAGAGAUCCGGAAGAACACCGGUGGCGAAGGCGGCCUGCUGGGCAGUGGCUGACGCUGAUGCGCGACAGCGUGGGGGAGCAAACAGGAUUAGAUACC